CCUACGGGAGGCAGCAGUGAGGAAUAUUGGUCAAUGGGCGCGAGCCUGAACCAGCCAAGUAGCGUGAAGGAUGACUGCCCUACGGGUUGUAAACUUCUUUUAUAAAGGAAUAAAGUGAGGCACGUGUGCCUUUUUGUCUGUACUUUAUGAAUAAGGAUCGGCUAACUCCGUGCCAGCAGCCGCGGUAAUACGGAGGAUCCGAGCGUUAUCCGGAUUUAGUGGGUUUAAAGGGAGCGUAGAUGGGUUGUUAAGUCAGUUGCGAAAGUUUGCGGCUCAACCGUAAAAUUGCAAUUGAUACUGGCAGUCUUGAGUACAGUUGAGGUAGGCGGAAUUCGUGGUGUAGCGGUGAAAUGCUUAGAUAUCACGAAGAACUCCGAUUGCGAAGGCAGCUUACUAAACUGCCACUGACAUUGAUGCUCGAAAGUGUGGGUAUCAAACAGGAUUAGAUACCCUUGUAGUC
rnacentral:rRNA from 1 species